rnacentral:lncRNA from 1 species
GUAACUUCACUUCAACUCAGACAAAGCUUUUCCCCGGCUGUGUGUCUUGAAUUGCUUCCAGCCAAUCAGGCUGCUUCCAAAUCAAAGGACAGUGAAGUCACACAAAUAGAGAGAGAAAGAGAGGAAAAAAAAUGCUGAAGGAAGGAGCGGAAAAGUCCAUCCCACCUCUUCCCGUUCACUUUCUUGUGCGCUGUAACAAAAGGAGGCGAGUUACUGAAGGACUAUUUUAAACCAACUUCUUUUUAUGAUUAUCUCGAUUGGGAAAGGCUGUUUUAUUUUGUUUGCAUUUUUAAUGAAUGCUUUCAGGAUUGCCCGAGACAGUCUUGGGCAAGAGAGAAUGCUAAAGAAGAUCUAACAAUUGUCUCUUGCUGACCAGCACCACCCCAGUAGACACAGGAUGUGUCCAUGUUUGAACUCUAGACAUGGGCUAAAACUUGCAGUUGUCCUCGCCCUAUAUUGGAAAUGUGAGACAUAACUAUAGUGUUCUCUGAAAUCCCUGGAUGGUUAAGCAAUAACCCAGGUGCCAGGUGACUACAAGAGGCAGUCACAGGAUCUGAGGGCAGCCAUGAAGAACAAUUGUGGGCUUACAUUCAUGUCUGCUAGCAGCUUUUGUCAGAAGCUCACUUGAAGCCACUGAAAGUCAGCCAAGUACCCACGCUCUCCCUUUUCUUAUUUUUAAUGUGCUAGGCUACCUUCUUGAAGCUCACUACAAAACCUGCUGGCACACACAAAGGUCAGCAUCACUGUUAUGAGAAACCCGGCAUCAUUGCCGGAUUUUCCAUAAGAGUAAUAUCACGGGUUAUGUAUUAUCCAAACUAGGAUUAUAUUGGGAAUGCCAUGAUUAUGUCUGACAUUCCCAGUGUAGUGCUGGGAUAAACUGCAGGUUUUAGCCUGCAUCUGUAAGCACCUUUGGUUUAAGAAGAGAGAGAGGAAUACUAGAAGAAAAUGGCUGGUUAAACAACUGUGGUCACCAGGAAGGUCUCUUUUCUUGAGUCAUGGACUGUGUCCCCAUGGAGGUAGGAUGCAUCCAGGAUCCAGG